UUCCUGUGCUGGGACAGCAGCAGCACAAACCCAGAAAUUCUUUCCUCCCUCUGUUGAACUCACCUCACAGUGUAGAGCUCUGAUAUUGAAGAAUAAGAUGUUUUCUGUCCAGUGGAAGAAUUCAAACAUGUCGUUCUUCAGCCUUCUGAAGGUGCUCGUGGCUUCAACAUGGCUAGGAUCCAGUAUCGCCCAGAAAGUAACUCAAGUCCAACCGGCAACGUUAGUGCAGGAGAAGGAGGUUGUGACCCUCAACUGCAGAUAUGACACGAGUGUCACAACUUAUAGUCUAUUCUGGUACAAGCAGUCCAGCAGUGGAGCAAUGAUGUUUCUUAUUCGUCAGGAUUCUUAUAACCAGCAAAAUGCCACAGAAGGUCGCUACUCACUGAAUUUUCAGAAGGCAAACAAAUCCAUCAACCUUGUCAUCUCACCUUCACAGCUGGAUGACUCCGCAGUGUAUUUCUGUGCACUGAGUGAGCCCACAGUGAGAGAUGUGCUAGAGGGAGGUGUGCAAAAACCCCAGGGCUCUGCUUGAUACAUGCACCUGCUGUAGGGACCAGGGUGUGGAAUUGUCAUCACGGGAAGUGGCUAGGGCUGU